UAAUACGUAGGGCGCAAGCGUUAUCCGGAAUUAUUGGGCGUAAAGAGCUCGUAGGCGGUUUGUCGCGUCUGCCGUGAAAGUCCGGGGCUCAACUCCGGAUCUGCGGUGGGUACGGGCAGACUAGAGUGAUGUAGGGGAGACUGGAAUUCCUGGUGUAGCGGUGAAAUGCGCAGAUAUCAGGAGGAACACCGAUGGCGAAGGCAGGUCUCUGGGCAUUAACUGACGCUGAGGAGCGAAAGCAUGGGGAGCGAACAGGAUUAGAUACCCUGGUAGUCCAUGCCGUAAACGUUGGGCACUAGGUGUGGGGGACAUUCCACGUUUUCCGCGCCGUAGCUAACGCAUUAAGUGCCCCGCCUGGGGAGUACGGCCGCAAGGCUA
rnacentral:rRNA from 1 species